GGAUCCAGACUUUGAUCCUGGCUCACGAUGAACGCUAGCUACAGGCUUAACACAUGCAAGUCGAGGGGAAACGACAUCGAAAGCUUGCUUUUGAUGGGCGUCGACCGGCGCACGGGUGAGUAACGCGUAUCCAACCUGCCCACCACUUGGGGAUAACCUUGCGAAAGUAAGACUAAUACCCAAUGACGUCUCUAGAAGACAUCUGAAGGAGAUUAAAGAUUUAUCGGUGAUGGAUGGGGAUGCGUCUGAUUAGCUUGUUGGCGGGGUAACGGCCCACCAAGGCGACGAUCAGUAGGGGUUCUGAGAGGAAGGUCCCCCACAUUGGAACUGAGACACGGUCCAAACUCCUACGGGAGGCAGCAGUGAGGAAUAUUGGUCAAUGGACGAGAGUCUGAACCAGCCAAGUAGCGUGCAGGAUGACGGCCCUAUGGGUUGUAAACUGCUUUUAUAAGGGAAUAAAGUGAGUCUCGUGAGACUUUUUGCAUGUACCUUAUGAAUAAGGACCGGCUAAUUCCGUGCCAGCAGCCGCGGUAAUACGGAAGGUCCGGGCGUUAUCCGGAUUUAUUGGGUUUAAAGGGAGCGUAGGCCGGAGAUUAAGCGUGUUGUGAAAUGUAGACGCUCAACGUCUGCACUGCAGCGCGAACUGGUUUCCUUGAGUACGCACAAAGUGGGCGGAAUUCGUGGUGUAGCGGUGAAAUGCUUAGAUAUCACGAGGAACUCCGAUUGCGAAGGCAGCUCACUGGAGCGCAACUGACGCUGAAGCUCGAAAGUGCGGGUAUCGAACAGGAUUAGAUACCCUGGUAGUCCGCACGGUAAACGAUGGAUGCCCGCUGUUGGUCUGAAUAGGUCAGCGGCCAAGCGAAAGCAUUAGGCAUCCCACCUGGGGAGUACGCCGGCAACGGUGCAA
rnacentral:rRNA from 2 species